UGCCAGACUCCUACGGGAGGCAGCAGUGGGGAAUAUUGCACAAUGGGGGGAACCUUGAUGCAGCAACGCCGCGUGGGUGAAGAAGUACUCCGGUAUGUAAAGCCCUGUCAGCAGGGAAGAAAAUGACGGUACCUGAGUAAGAAGCCCCGGCUAACUACGUGCCAGCAGCCGCGGUAAUACGUAGGGGGCAAGCGUUAUCCGGAUUUACUGGGUGUAAAGGGAGCGUAGACGGCAGUGCAAGUCUGGAGUGAAAGGCGGGGGCUCAACCCCCGGACUGCUCUGGAAACUGUACGGCUGGAGUGCAGGAGAGGUAAGUGGAAUUCCUAGUGUAGCGGUGAAAUGCGUAGAUAUUAGGAGGAACACCAGUGGCGAAGGCGGCUUACUGGACUGUAACUGACGUUGAGGCUCGAAAGCGUGGGGAGCAAACAGGAUUAGAUACCCUGGUA
rnacentral:rRNA from 1 species